rnacentral:rRNA from 1 species
GAUGAACGCUGCCAGCAUGCUUAACACAUCAGCAAUUGAUUGGUGGCGGACGGGUGCGUAACGCGUAAAUAUCUUGCCUCACCUCUUGGGCCAACAUUUGUACUCGAAUGCUUAUACCUAAUACUGUGAGAGAGCUUUUCGUCCCAUUAUCUAGUUGGCGUGGUAACGGCUCACCAAGGCGAUGAUGGGUAGCCGGCCUGGGAGGGUGAUCGGCCACAAGGUGACUGAGACGCGGCCCGUACUCCUACGGGAGGCAUGAGUGGGGAAUAUAGGACAAUGGGCCAACGUCUGAUCCAGCAAUUCGGGGUGCACGAUGAAUUUUUCGGAAUGUAAAGUGCUUUCAGUUUGGAAGCGGUACCAACAGAAGAAGUGACGGCUAAAUACGUGCCAGCAGCCGCGGUAAUUC